ensembl:lncRNA
AUCUGAAAAACCUAGAAAAGUUAAAGUUACACUACACACCAGGCUAUACAGCCUUUACCACCAGUACGAUUUGUUAGCAUCUCUCCAGCACUUCUGGACCGAGCUUUAAUGAGAAUGCAGUGUUACAACUACAAUAUGUAGCUUUUACUGACUUCUACCAAAUUGAAUGCAAGUAAUGGCAUAAAUCACCUCGUAAGAUUAACUGGCCACUUGUGAAAUUGCACAAAUGUCAGACAUUCACCCUGUGCCCAUACCAAUGAUAUUAACAGUUGGCACAUACAGUGGAAAAAUCCUGUCCUGUACUCAGGCAACUUCUUAGUUACCUAAAAUUAGGACCCUUUCGUCGCUGGUCCUAUAAGUAGCACAAACUCAGUAGCAAAAUUUCUUCUUGGUCGGGAACAUGGAACAUCCUGGUGGCGCCGUGUGUUAUUUGGUGAUCGCUCUAGUUAGGGCUAUAUCACACUAUACUACAAGGUGACCCGUACAGGAUGAGAAUAUCAUGAAACUAUUUGUUUCAUCUUAAUAUAUCGUCGUUUGAAAUGGUAAGCUUAAUGCUCACUUGUAGAUUCGAAACUGCUAGUAACGUAUAGAUUCCAAACUGCUACUACCCAGCUAUGCUAACUCUUACUUGGCUGCGCGGUGAUUUGAAAUGUGAAAUCCGCUGUGAUUGCCUUGUCGGCAAAUCUAACAGUUUUCAAUUAUGCAUUUAAUAAAUUAAUUGAAUUUCCAUAGUAACAAGAGAAUUUGCUACAUGGUGAGUUUACCCUAGAAUUGCCCUGUUUUAGAGAGGGCCCACGUGUUUGCCAUGCGGUGAAACAUUAGCCAGAUUCCAUUUGACCAAUCUAUAACGGUAGUAGUUUGCAGGCUAGGUAUGUAGCAGUUCGUAAUGUGUGUUAAAGGAUGACAGCACAAGACUAUAUAGUCUCUGAUACAGCAUGAUGGUCUUUCACAGUGCACUGAAAACGCAUGUUUAUACACCAACGAUUAUCACUGUAAUGUCACUUAUGAACGGUCAUCAGUGUUUCAACCUUCUUUCAGCAGUCUGCCGGGUAUGGAGGCUCUUGUGACUAUGGGCUCAAGCAAACCUUGGCAAAUUUUGUGCCCCCCUUAUCACCAGGCCUUCCACACACUCAACUGGUAAAGCCCAGUUACUGGACCUGGAGACCGGAUGUCUGUCUUUACAGUGGCUUGCAGGAGGGCAAGGUUCUUUCAUUUAAAGGUGUUCCUGUACCUGGAAUGUGAUGUCGGUCUUUACAGGGGCUUGCAGGAGGGGAAGGUCCUUUCAUUUCAAGAUUGACUUGGAUGGAAUCAUGGUCAGUCUACGAUCAAGCUAGAAGCUCCAGUUGUGAAGUCAUGAGGUGUUGCUGUUAUGAAGAUCUACAUUAACUGCACUGGGACCCAACAACCUCCAAGACUCAUAAAUUCGAAAUAAAUUUCUUUAAAUUGAAUUGUGUGUGUGUGUGUUUUAACUGAAGUGGUGUUGGUUUGUAGAUUGUCCACUUAUGAUGCAGCUGCAGUAAACGCAGAACACAAGUGUUUUAUCUAAUGUUUUGUGACUCUCUUUGAAGCUUCUGCUAGAUACGUUGAUCAAUAUACAUUUCUGAUUCUGACAUAAGUAAUUGUUAUAGGCGGAUGUCUAAGAUUAUACGUUUAAAGUGUACAU